rnacentral:rRNA from 12 species
AGCGGCGGACGGGUGAGUAAUGCAUAGGAAACUGCCCAGUAGUGGGGGAUAGCCCGGGGAAACCCGGAUUAAUACCGCAUACGUCCUUCGGGAGAAAGCAGGGGAUCUUCGGACCUUGCGCUAUUGGAUGUGCCUAUGUCGGAUUAGCUGGUUGGUGAGGUAAUGGCUCACCAAGGCGACGAUCCGUAGCUGGUCUGAGAGGAUGAUCAGCCACAUCGGGACUGAGACACGGCCCGAACUCCUACGGGAGGCAGCAGUGGGGAAUAUUGGACAAUGGGGGCAACCCUGAUCCAGCCAUGCCGCGUGUGUGAAGAAGGCUUUCGGGUUGUAAAGCACUUUCAGUGAGGAGGAAAAGUUAGUCCUUAAUACGGGCUAGCCUUGACGUUACUCACAGAAGAAGCACCGGCUAACUCCGUGCCAGCAGCCGCGGUAAUACGGAGGGUGCAAGCGUUAAUCGGAAUUACUGGGCGUAAAGCGCGCGUAGGUGGUUUGAUAAGCGAGAUGUGAAAGCCCCGGGCUUAACCUGGGAACGGCAUUUCGAACUGUCAGGCUAGAGUGUGGUAGAGGGUAGUGGAAUUUCCUGUGUAGCGGUGAAAUGCGUAGAUAUUAGAAAGAACACCGGCGGCGAAAGCGCUCUACUGGACCAUUACUGACACUCAGAGGCGAAAGCUAGGGGAGCAAAAGGGAUUAGAUACCCCUGUAGUCCUAGCCGUAAACGAUGGAUACUAGAUGUUGCGCAAUUUGUGCAGUAUCUUAGCUAACGCGUUAAGUAUCCCGCCUGGGGAGUACGCUCGCAAGGGUGAAACUCAAAGGAAUUGACGGGGGCCCGCACAAGCGGUGGAGCAUGUGGUUUAAUUCGAUACAACGCGAAGAACCUUACCAGGGCUUGACAUACUACAAAUCUUUUCGAAACGAAAGAGUGCCUUCGGGAAUGUAGAUACAGGUGGUGCAUGGCUGUCGUCAGCUCGUGUCGUGAGAUGUUGGGUUAAGUCCCGCAACGAGCGCAACCCUCAUUUUUAGUUGCCAAUUUAUUGGGAUUUCUAGAGAGACUGCCGGUGACAAACCGGAGGAAGGUGAGGAUGACGUCAAGUCAGCAUGCCCCUUAUGCCCUGGGCCACACACGUGCUACAAUGGCGAAGACAAAGAGUCGCAAACCUGCGAAGGCUAGCUAAUCUCGUAAACUUCGUCUAAGUUCGGAUUGUAGGCUGCAACUCGCCUGCAUGAAGUUGGAAUCGCUAGUAAUCGCUGGUCAGCUAUACAGCGGUGAAUUCGUUCCCGGGCCUUGUACACACCGCCCGUCACACCAUGGGAGCUGGUCAUACCCAAUAUCGUUAGCCUAACCAUUCGGAGGGCGGCGCUUAAGGUAGGGCUAGUGACUGGGGUGAAGUCGUAACAAGGUAGCCGUACUGGAAGGUGCGGCUGGAUCACCUCCUU